rnacentral:lncRNA from 1 species
AAGGGGGUAAAGGGUUAUAUACGGAUUAUCCCUCUGUAAUAUCGGUAUGUAAUAUUGGUGCGUUUAGGCGAGAAGUUUGCCAAGGAUAUAUCCGUAUAUAAGACCGUAUGUAACUGGAACACAUAUUUAUCCGCUGAUUUUAAAUACGGAUAUGAUAAUAAUUAAUUAAAAAAUAAAAAAAAAAUAAUAUAGAAUCUGAUUGUGGAAAUGUUCUGACACUCUUCUCCUUCGAGCCAGCCCCCUUUCUCGAGCCAGUUUCCCCCUCUGUCGAGCCCUAGUUUCUGACUGCAACCAUCCAUCACCGUCAUUCUCCCUCUCUACAUCCAUG